rnacentral:rRNA from 1 species
UCGCAGAUCAGAAUGCUGCGGUGAAUACGUUCCCGGGUCUUGUACACACCGCCCGUCACACCAUGGGAGUCGGAAAUGCCCGAAGCCGGUGACCAAACCAAUAAGGAAGGAGCCGUCGAAGGCAGGUCUGAUAACUGGGGUGAAGUCGUAACAAGGUACC